AGUGAACGCUGGCGGUAGGCCUAACACAUGCAAGUCGAACGGCAGCACAGUAAGAGCUUGCUCUUACGGGUGGCGAGUGGCGGACGGGUGAGGAAUACAUCGGAAUCUACUUUUUCGUGGGGGAUAACGUAGGGAAACUUACGCUAUACCGCAUAAGACCUACGGGUGAAAGCCGGGGAUCUUCGGACCUUGCGCGGUUGGAUGAGCCGAUGUCGGAUUAGCUAGUUGGCGGGGUAAAGGCCCACCAAGGCGACGAUCCGUAGCUGGUCUGAGAGGAUGAUCAGCCACACUGGAACUGAGACACGGUCCAGACUCCUACGGGAGGCAGCAGUGGGGAAUAUUGGACAAUGGGCGCAAGCCUGAUCCAGCCAUACCGCGUGGGUGAAGAAGGCCUUCGGGUUGUAAAGCCCUUUUGUUGGGAAAGAAAAGCAGCAGGUUAAUACCCCGCUGUUCUGACGGUACCCAAAGAAUAAGCACCGGCUAACUUCGUG
rnacentral:rRNA from 1 species